UUCCCAUGAUGGCAAAAACAUGGGAAGUUGUCAGACAUCUGACAGGUCACAGUGUAUGGUUGGUGACUUCAAUCAGGUCCAUUUUAGAGAUGUAACCUCCAGUCUUAGAAGUGAUCUUCAUCUUUAUUUAGCAUGCAGUUCUGAAGCUGGCCAGAGUCCUUUCCAGUCUGCCAGAGGGCAAAUCCAAUAAAAAUUAAAAUAAGA